UACGUAGGGGGCGAGGCGUUGUCCGGAUUUAUUGGGCGUAAAGCGCGCGUAGGCGGACCUGCAAGUCGGGGGUGAAAGCCCGAGGCUCAACCUCGGAACUGCCUUCGAUACUGCGGGUCUCGAGUCCGGGAGAGGUGAGUGGAAUUCCUAGUGUAGAGGUGAAAUUCGUAGAUAUUAGGAAGAACACCAGUGGCGAAGGACG
rnacentral:rRNA from 1 species